GCGACAGCCUGGACGAGUCCAGCUCGGAUGCCGCCUCCCCCGGCGGCUGCGACUUCCUGCCCGGCGAUGACGCCUCCGUGUCCUCCUCCUCCCGCGAGGAGCGCAAGACGGUGCCGCCGCUGACCGUGCGUCUGCACGCACAGAGCGUGGCCCGCUGCGCCACCGAGGACGGCCGCACCGUGGCCGUGGGCGACAUCGUCUGGGGCAAGAUCCCUGGCUGCCCCUGGUGGCCGGCCCGCGUGCUGGACCUCAGUCUGGGCCAGAAGGAGGACGGGCAGCCCUCCUGGCGCGAGGCACGUGUGGCCUGGUUCGGCUCCCCCACCACCUCCUGCCUCUCUCUCUCCAAACUCUCCCCGUUCUCCGAGUUCUUCAAACUGAGGUUUAACCGCAAGAAGAAGGGGUAGCCAUAUUACCGAGGGCCAGGCCGAGCACCCCGGGGAGGUCCGGGCUCCCUGGCCCCGAGGGUAGCUGUGGCCCGGGAUCAGGGGUUGGGCCGGCCCCCGGAGGGGCUGUCCUGAGGGCCUGCGCGGUCAUUUAGGGGAGGGGCCCCCGGAGGGCCUGCAUGGUUAUUUAGGGCAAGGGGCCCCCGUAGGGGCCGUCCUGAGGGCCUGUGUGGUCAUUUAGGGGAAGGGGUUGUCCUGAGGGCCUGCACGGUCAUUUAGAGGAGGGGCCCCUGGAGGGCCUGUGCGGUCAUUUAGAGGAGGGGCCGUCCUGAGGGCCUGUAUGGUCAUUUAAGGGAAGGGGUUGUCCUGAGGGCCUGAACGGUCAUUUAGAGGAAGGGCCGUCCUGAGGGCCUGUGCGGUCAUUUAGGGGAAGGGGUUGUCCUGAGGGCCUGUGCGGUCAUUUAGAGGAGGGGCCGUCCUGAGGGCCUGCAUGGUUAUUUAGGGCAAGGGGCCCCCGUAAGGACCGUCCUGAGGGCCUGUGUGGUCAUUUAGGGGAAGGGGUCCCAGGAGGGUCUGUGUGGUCAUUUAGAGAAGGGGCCCCUGGAGCAGCCGUCCUGAGCGACUGCUGUUCAUGUAGGGAGACUCCCCACCCAUGCAGGCUCCCUGGGCCCCCCAGGAGAGUCACUUGUGGCCCGCAGAGGCGGGGGAGCCCCGCAGCUGCUUUGGCAGAGCCCUUGGGGGCAGGGCACUCACCUUGGCUCCCAGUCCCCUGUGUGGGGCCCCAUGGUCGUGGCCUGAGCACAAGCGGGUUCCACGGGAGAUUCCAUGGCUCCUUUGGGUCUCAUUGCCCCAGUGGCCCAUCCUGGGCUCCGCCCCUCGUCCUACCUGGUGGUGUUAG
rnacentral:lncRNA from 1 species